GAAAGCAAGGGAAAGCAUGUCCUUUUCCUACGGAGCAAAUCUGAGUGAUAAACUGCUAAAAUUCCAGCAUUUAAACUGAAGCACAAUCAUUGAUUUUACACAAAAUCAACCACGAUUUUCAUGGAGAAAGGCACUCCAACGCCACUCACUACACCUCUUCGCUGCAUCGUCAAGCUCGGGGGUGCAGCAAUUACUUGCAAGAAUGAAUUGGAGAAGAUAAAUGAAGAAAAUCUGAGAGCGGUUUCGAUACACUUGAGAGAAGCAAUGAUGUCUGGUGAAGUUGUGGAUAUGGAUUGGAGUAAAAGGCCUGGGAAAGCAGAUGUUUCUGUAAAUGUAGAUGGCAUUUCAGAUCAAAUAACAAUGGAGUCCAGCAACUUUGUUGUUGUUCAUGGAGCUGGCUCAUUCGGUCAUUUUCAAGCCAGCAAAUCAAGGGUACACAAGGGAGGAUUGGAUCAGUCUCUUGUCAAAGCCGGCUUUGUUGCGACCAGAAUUUCAGUCGCAUCACUCAAUCUUGAAAUUGUGAGGGCACUAGCUCGAGAGGGUAUCCCUUCAGUUGGAAUAUCUCCAUUUUCGGGUGGAUGGACAACAUUUCAGAGAAAUGUUGCUUCCGCUGAUGUCACAACGGUGGCUAAAACUAUUGACUCUGGCUUCAUCCCUGUCCUGCAUGGGGAUGCAGUGCUUGAUCAUUCACAGGGUUGCACAAUUUUGAGUGGGGAUGUUAUUAUACGGCAUAUUGCAGAAAUCUUGAAGCCUGAAUAUGUUGUUUUCCUUACAGAUGUUUUUGGUGUAUAUGACCGUCCGCCAUCAGAACCUGAUGCAAUGUUGUUAAAAGAGAUAGCUGUCGAUGAAGAAGGAAGCUGGCGUGUUGUGAAUCCAGCCCCGAAAUCUAUAAAUGAACAAGUUGAGAUAACUGUUGCUGCUCAUGAUACAACCGGAGGCAUGGUGACCAAAAUUUCCGAAGCAGCAGCUAUUGCAAAACUUGGUAUUGAUGUAUAUAUCGUAAAGGCAGCCACAGAUCAUUCCUUGAAGGCCUUAAAAGGGGAAGUAAAAGGGAAAAUUCCUGAUGAUUGGAUGGGUACAGCCAUCCGUUUUAUGAGAAAAUAAUUAUCAACAGCUUGUCAUGUGCAUCAGAGGCAGCAUAAUCAUAUAUAAUCCGUUACCUCUGGAGGAGCUGCACAAACCCUUCAAGUGCUUCAUCAAUGUCAUCGCUUUUCAUCAGUUCCUCUGCUGCUGCUGCAGGGGUAACUUGUACCUCUUUGAUCAGCUCUUCAAUUUGAGUGAACAAAGGAUGGCUACCGAUGUUGAGAUAGUUAGAGGCUAAAACUGUAAACCCACCAAAAAGUUAAAUAAGACAAAUGAAUGUGCAUGUCCAUUCGGCCUGGUCUUAUCAAAGCUGGAUCAAGCCUCUCCUUGUAGUUGGUUGUGAACACAAUGAUCCUCUCCUCCCCACAACUUGACCACAGCCCAUCGAUGAAGUUCAACAGCCCCGCCAGAGGUAAUGAAUGGUCAUCUCCUGAGCCUUCAUUAUUGUAGUUUAUAUCUGUAGUGCCGUCUUCACCAAUACCACUAGACGCCUGAUGUUGCCUGUUCUGCAACUUAUUGGUGCUGCAAUCUAUGUCCUCGAUCACUAUUAUGGACCGAUUGGAAGUGGAGACCAACAAUU